UAUUCCUCUUUCUCCAUCUCACCGUCUUCAAAUUUAUGCUGGCUCAAGAAAGAAUGGCAAGAAUAUUGGUAUGGUUCGGCGGCGUAGCAUCCACAGUUCCAAUGAUAUACGCCUGUUUGAUUCUAUGGCAGUUGAAGGCUGACAUUUACAAGCUUAACCGUCUCUCAAAAACUAUCGACGAUCUUGAAAAUAAAAUGUCUCAGAUGAAAAAACUUUCUUCUACUUCCUCAUCCCCUUCCCCUUCUGAUAAGCCGCUUACAAUAUAUCAUGCUGCUCGUCUUGUUGGAAUUACAGCCUUCAAUCCUGAAAUUGAUGAAAAGCUGCAUACAGCCUAUAUUUAGGAAUGUGACUUGAAUUGUGUGAUUUUUCUCUAAAAUAUUAUGACCAUUAUAUACGUAUUUAGUAUAAUGAAUGUAUUUAAUGGCCAAGGGAUAUUUAUAUUCAGUUAAAAUUUUAGAAAAGAUACCGUAAGAAAAAAAAUGAUACAAUAGUGUUUGUUUACUCUCAUAGAAGCUCCUCAAAGUAAAAGAUGCAACCAUGGAGUUUAUUGCUCAUUUGUAGCUUUUACAUUUCUUUAUUUUAUUUCUAAAAACAAGGAAACAAAAAAGGUUCGCUUUGCUAUAAGAAAAUUUCUCAAAUUAGAAAAACUUGGGUUGGAUGAGGGCUUUACGUUGAGAAUUGCUGAAAUGAUUGCACUUUAACUUGAUAAACACCCUUAAAUGCAUGUUUUAGUUAGAAUCAUCUUACUUUUUUUGCCAUAUAGACUGUGUAGGUAACACUGAUGUUUUAUUGCUGACUUUGGGAUAAAUGCCCUAUGAUUAGCCACUAUAGAUUUUCCAAGCUGUCAUGUUUUCACUUACAUGGGAAAUAACCCAGUGUUGUUUGAUGAGUUAUGACCAUAUAUGCUACUUCUUCUUUAUUAGACAUAAUGCAUCUAGUUCUAUAUUUCUACUAAAGAUGUAAAAGUAAAAGUAAGGAUUCAUCCAUCAAUUAACCAAAAACUUAGGCUUUUAUAAUCCUUUUUUUCUUUUGUUUUUGUUUACAAGUGAAAUACAGUUUUCAGGUUUCUUUGUGCUGUUAAAAGUUUGUUUAAACUUCCUCACACUACUCAAGAUUAGUUAUAUGCAACUGUUUUGUACUCAUAGUUAUCAGUUUUAUCUUUUAUUGAUCAUGAAUAAAAUGUUAAAUUUUGAAAAACACAAAUGUUUUCUUUAAAAAGGCUUGGUUAUGUAUUUUCUUACUAUUGAUUUCUCGACGUAUAACUUUGGCUUCAUAAUUAUAUACGGAAGGACCUGAGAAAGAGUGGCUACAACUUGUUGUGUUUGGAGAAUUACGGGCACUCUUCCCUGGUUUUCAUGUUCAUAUAGAACUUGUUUGACCUGCAAUUCCUCCUCAAAGGUCUNAUCCAUUCUCAUAAGUCAUUGAAUUAUCAUCUGAUACUGAUCCUAUUUGGUUUAAAUAUCUGUCUAUGUUGCUUCCCAAUGAAUAGGGAUGGUAAGAAAAUUCAAAUUUCAAAGUAUGCUUGUUGCAAUGAAGAUGAGUGUGAGUGCAAAAUAACAAUUAAAAAUACAUAUCUUAGAACAAAGUCUGGUUCAGCAGUGACAUUGCUGCUUUGGCGAGGAUUCUAUCAUGACCGAUAUAGAGAUAUUGUUAAGUUUAGCCAAGUUGAUUUAUAUAAGUCUGCAAUACCUAUCAUUGGUAUCAGAGCCACUUUCCUGGUGUUGUGAUGGUUGUGCGGCAUGGUCAAUACGAGAAUGGAGGCAAGAUUGGAUGGUUUGGAGUGCCUAGUGCAAGAAUAGGAACAUGAAAAUCAGAGAAGGUUCCACAGGUUGGAGGAAAUGAUUACAGGGUUGUCAGGGUUGGUGGAACGUUUCGUAUCCUCUGAUAAACAAACAGCGGAUAGUGCUUCUAUUGCUAAGGAAGGCAGUAAUGAAGGAGGGACUGCACGUGGACGUUCAGUAAUGAUAUGUUUGCUAUAUAAGGAAGAUGAGUGUUGGCUAUGGCACAAAAGACUUGUACACAUUCACAUGCCUCACUUGAAUAAGCUUGCUUCUAGAGGUCUUGUACUAGGGUUGCCAAACAUAAAGUUUGAAUCUGAUAGACUUUGUGAUACUUGUCAAAAAGGGAAACAAACUAGAUCAUCUUUUAAAUUCAAACGUGUGAUAUCAACAGUAGACGUCUCAAAUUAUUACACAUGGACCUAUUUGGUCCUUUAAUAAUCAAAAGUCUAGGAGGAAAUCUUUAUGGUUUGGUUAUUGUUGAUGAUUAUUCUAGGUUCACUUGGAUUUUUUUUCUUGCAUCUAAGAGUGAUACCUUUAGAACUUUUAAGAAAUUUCCCUCCAUUAUUCAUAAUGAAAAAGAUCUUAGGAUAAAGGCUAUUAAAAGUGAUCAUGGAAGAGAGUUUCAUGAUCAUGGAAGAGAGUUUCAGAAUGAAAAGUUUGAGAACUUUUGUGAUGAAUAAGGAAUAUCACACAUCUUCUCCCACUAAUGCAAAAAUAUCUUUUA